GACGAACGCUGGCGGCGUGCUUAACACAUGCAAGUCGAACGGAAAGGCCCUGCUUGCCGGGUACUCGAGUGGCGAACGGGUGAGUAACACGUGGGUGAUCUGCCCUGCACUUCGGGAUAAGCCUGGGAAACUGGGUCUAAUACCGGAUAGGAGCCAUUUUUAGUGUGAUGGUUGGAAAGUUUUUUCGGUGUAGGAUGAGCUCGCGGCCUAUCAGCUUGUUGGUGGGGUAAUGGCCUACCAAGGCGGCGACGGGUAGCCGGCCUGAGAGGGUGGACGGCCACAUUGGGACUGAGAUACGGCCCAGACUCCUACGGGAGGCAGAAGUGGGGAAGAUUGCACAAUGGGCGCAAGCCUGAUGCAGCGACGCCGCGUGGGGGAUGACGGCCUUCGGGUUGUAAACUCCUUUCGCUAGGGACGAAGCUUUUUGUGACGGUACCUAGAUAAGAAGCACCGGCUAACUACGUG
rnacentral:rRNA from 1 species